rnacentral:lncRNA from 1 species
GAUUCGAAAUCAGGGGGUUUACAAAAGAAAAACAGGUAAAAUUAAUUAUAAUGAUAUAUUUUAUGUUACCCAAUAUAUCCAAAAUAUUUUAUCAUGUUAUCAAUGUAAGAUGUAUUAAUGUGAUAGUUCACAUCUUUAUGGGCAGCUAUAGACACUUUCUGUAGUCUAGAACUUUAUAGAUACCCUAAGGUAGAUUUAAACUAAUCCUCCCUUGAGGAUCGAAAGCCAAGAGGAAAAAGCUGAGAGCUUUUGAUUCUAAGUGCUUCCGGUCCAAUCCAGCAAUUUGAGUUUACUUAACCAGUUAGAAGCAGGUCUCAAAAUUUAAGGUGCAUCAACAAUCACUGGGGGGCAAGGAGUUACUGGUGGUGGUAUGUAAUAAGACUUAAUAAAUCCAAACCUGGGAGUGGGCCAGGUGGUUCUGAUGUAGAGCCCAUAUGUGGGAAACCAUUUUAUUGAAUCCUGUCAGUGCUUACUGCUGCUCAGCUGACAGCUGUUAGAACCCAUACCUAACAGCCAGAUCAUGUGAAUUCCCAACAGCGGUGUUAACAGAUUCCAAGCCCCACUCCAGGGUGGGGCAUCUGUUACUUUUAUACAGUUCCUCAGGUGAAUCUUUCACAAUCAGGUAGGUUUAGAAAACACUAGGACAUUGGUUCUCAAACUUUGCUGCACAUCAGAAUCACGCUGGGAGUCAGUCAUACUCCGUAGCAAUGAAAUCAGGUCUGGGGAUGGGAGUCAGCAAUCUGUAUUUUUAAAAGGUUCCCAAAAGGUUCUAAUGUGCAGCUGGGAACCACUGCAUUAAGCCUUUCAAGAAAAGGAAUGCCAGAGUAGAUAACAUGUCAGCUCAUCAGCUGUAGACGCUGUAACACCCAGGUGGACCUUGAAAGUGGGCCCAAUUGGUAAGUUAAUUUCUACCUCCUCUUUGAGUUUCAUUAAAUUGUAAUGGAUGCAUUCAAUUAAAAUUAAGCACUUGGUGAGACUAGAAGGUGGCAGAGCAUAAGGAAGCAUAAAAAGGGAGCACAGAGAAUGAUGAGGCUAAGUAAAGUACUUAUACCAAAAACCCAACCACUUCACAAAACAAAGGAACUGAAAUGCUAAAAUGCUUUUUAGAAGUGUGACCUCUUCACUCUCUUGGGUUACCACACGGUACUUAAAGGGAAGGACCGGAAGCCACAGACCCAAAAGGAACCAAAUGGAAAUCCCAAGUCUUGUUUUCUGUCAGCUGAUCAUUAGAAUGGGAAGUGAAGUGCAAAGACUGAGCCAUUUAGGACAAAGCACCCCCGCCGCCAAAGGACAACACGGAGCAAGUCAGAGAACAAGAAGCAGGAAGGAUGAAGGUCUAGCCAGGCUUUGCCCUGAAAACACAACAUCAAAGUUAUCUCCUGACUCAGAGCCCGGUCCCCCGGAGGCCAGGGUCCGGGGAGGGGUGUGUCACCCGUCUCGGGUCGCGCCCCCCCCGCCCCCCCAGCGGACAGCACCUGGAGGCCGCUCGANNNNNNNNNNNNNNNNNNNNNNNNNNNNNNNNNNNNNNNNNNNNNNNNNNNNNNNNNNNNNNNNNNNNNNNNNNNNNNNNNNNNNNNNNNNNNNNNNNNNNNNNNNNNNNNNNNNNNNNNNNNNNNNNNNNNNNNNNNNNNNNNNNNNNNNNNNNNNNNNNNNNNNNNNNNNNNNNNNNNNNNNNNNNNNNNNNNNNNNNNNNNNNNNNNNNNNNNNNNNNNNNNNNNNNNNNNNNNNNNNNNNNNNNNNNNNNNNNNNNNNNNNNNNNNNNNNNNNNNNNNNNNNNNNNNNNNNNNNCGCGCAGCAGCCCGCCAUGGCGCGCGCUGGCUGCCGUCCCGCCGCCCCAGCUCGGCGCUCUGGGCCCGGCCGCCCGGCCCGCUCCUCGUAUCCGCGCGGGAGCCCCGCCCAGGCCUCCGGGAGCUCGCGGCGCCGCCACGCGCGAGGCAGGGCCCGGAAGGAGGCGGUGCUGCGCCUCGAGGCUGGGGCCGGGCGAAGGCGACGCUCCGCCUCGGUACGAGCGGCUCUCUCCACGGAGAGUGGGGCCGAUGGGGAAGGGGUGAGCUCCCCCUUGAGGACGAGUGACCCCGUCAGUAGGGCCGGGGAGAGCGAGCGACCCCCGCAAAGUGGCAUUGGUUCUAUCAGGAAGGAGUGACCCUCUCUCCGUGAAUGAAUGGCCCUCUGGAGGGCCGGGGAGAACAAGUGACCGGCUUAGUGGAGAUAGAGCCAUGGAGGAGAGAGUGACCGCUCCCUUGGGAAUGAGUUACGCCUCAGGGGGGCUGAAGUGGGAGGGCGGGGGGAUAGUGAGCGACUCCUUUAGGUGGUUUAGGAGGUACGAGUGACCUGUCGGGGACGGGGGCAGCAUAGAAGAAAAAGUAGUCCCUUUGGAGGUCCAAACUUGUGCCUUCUCAACCUCUGGAGGAAAAGCCUGUAUGUCAGGUGCCCGAGGAGCCCUUGGCUGGAGUCACACACCCUUUCAAGUGGCCCUCUUGGAAUUGGAGUCAGGUCGCAUCCCUACUCCAAUUCAGAUGCUUCCUUAGCUACAGGACAAGGAAGGGGUUUCUGUGACCAUCCUUUCAACUGAGACGGUUUUAUCACAACUUUAGGGAGACUUGGAAAAUAGAGGGAAGUGGAGGAAACACCCACAGUUCCGCUACUCGAACAUAAUUUUCCACGUUUGCUCAUUCCCUUUCAGGUAUGUUUUCAAAGAUAUGUUUUAUAUUUAGUUUCAUUAAUUCAUUCAACAAGCAUUAAUAAGCACCUUCAAUACGCUGGGCACUGUUCAGUGAACAGAACAAACCCAAACAGCCUGCCUUCAUGAAGUAUGAAUUCUCACAGGUAGAUGUGUAUAAAAUUGUAGUUUGUAAAUCAUAGGCAAUGAUGAUGUUUUUUCUGGUUUACACUACUGUUUUCUAUGUUACUGCAGUCUAGUUAUAAUGUUCAUUUUUUUUAACGUUUAUUUUUUUGGGACAGAGAGAGACAGAGCAUGAAUAAUGUUCAUUUUUAAUAAAUGGACUAUUUCUUACAGAGGGUAUGCCGUGAUUUUCCUAACUGUUCUUAUCUGGUUGCUUCUAGUUUGUGGAUCCUAGGCAUAAUCUUUGAUAUGAUAUUUUAGUUCAUUUCUUGGAUGUGAGUUUCCUAAGCCAUACCACCUUAUUUAUCCAGAUACAAAAAAGUGAAUAAUAAGAAAAUUUGGAGAAAACAGACAAUAUCUACCUCUCGAGAUGGAAUUGUUGAGUUAGAAGGAGGCAUAGAACUGCUACCUGCCUCAGUCCAAAAUGGUCCCAAGAAAAGGUGGUGACAGCUUAAGUGGAAUUUUAUUCAUUCAUUUGACAGAUAUUUACCGAGUGCCUGUUGUGUGCUUGGCAGUAUUCUUAAUGCUACGGGUAUGAGGGCGAACAGAUAGAUGAAAUCUCUGCCAAAAUGGAGCUUGGUGCCUUUGGGAGGUCUUAAAUUCUAUGUAGAAAAGGAAAAUCCAGUUGCUAAAUUCUCAUUGGAAGGGAACUUAAAAAUGCUUUCCUUAAGGGCCCAAACUCAGUUCUAGCUCUCAUUCAUACUUAUCCAAUAGUAAUGAGAUGGUCCCAGCCUUAAAAAUCUUGAAUUUAAAUGGUUUGCUUGUGUUUGGGAACAAAGCAGGUAAGAGAAAUGUAUAAACAAGUUUUCCUAAAUUACUAGUUGGUAAUCUAUCCUUAGGACCAACCAGAGAAGCUGAUCUUGAAAAAUGAUUAGGAAAAGAAAGUUAUUUCAUGUACAUUCUUGCCCUUAGUUUACCUGUUUUUAAAAACUGCUUUCUUGGGGCACCUGGGUGGCUCAGUCGGUUAGGCAUUUGACUUUGGCUCAGGUCGUGAUUGUGGGUUCGAGCCCUCCAUCAGGCACUGUAGUGAAAGUGUGGAGCCUGCUUUGGAUCCCCUGUCUCCUUCUCUCUCUGCUCUUCCUCCGCUUGCCACUUGUGUGUGCACUCUCUCUCCAAAAUAAAUAAACAUCAAAAAAAAAAAAAAAACUUAAAAGCAAUCCCUAUCAAAAUAACACCAGCAUUCUUUGCAGAGCUAGAACAAACAAUCCUAAAAUUUGUAUGUAACCAGAAAAGACCCCAAAUAGCCAAAGCAAUCCUGAAAAAGAAAACCAAACUGGAGGCAUCACAAUUCCAGACUUCAAACUGUAUUACAAAGCUUGUAAUCAUCAAGACAGUAUGGUACUGGCACAAAAAUAGACACUCAGAUCAAUGGAACACAAUAGAGAACCCAGAAAUGGACCCACAAACAUAUGGCAACCUAAUCUUUGACAAAGGAAAGAAUAUUAUCCAGUGGAAAAAAGACAGUCUCUUUAGCAAAUUGUGUUGGGCAAACUGGACAGCAAUAUGCAGAAGAAUGAACCUGGAUCACUUUCUUAUACGCAAAAAUAAACUCAAAAUGGGUGAAAGACUUAAAUGUAAAACAGGAAGCCAUCAAAAUCCUAGGGGAGGAAACAGGCAACAACCUCUUUGACCUCAGCUGCAGCAACUUCUUACUUGACAUGUCUCUAGAGGCAAGGGAAACAAAAGCAAAAAUGAACUAUUGGGACCUUAUCAAGAUAAAAAGCUUCUACACAGUGAAGGUAACAAUCAGCAAAACUGAAAGGCAACUGACAGAAUGGGAGAAAAUAUUUGCAAAUGACAUAUCAGAUAAAGGGUUAGUAUCCAAAAUCUAUAAAGAACUUAUCAAACUCAACACCCAAAAACAAAUAAUCCAGUGAAGAAACGGGAAAAAGACAUGAACAGACACUUCCAAAGAGGACAUCCAGAUGGCCAACCGAUGUCACUCAUCAUCAGGGAAAUACAAAUCAAAACCACAAUGAGAUACCACCUCACACCUGUCAGAUGGCUAACGUUAACAACUCGGGCAACAACAUGUUGGCGUGGAUGCUGAGAAAAAGGAACCCUUUUACACUGUUGGUGGGAAUGCAGCCACUCUGGAAAACAGAAUGGAGAUUCCUCAAAAAAUUAAAAAUAGAACUACCCUAUGACCCAGAAAUUGCACUAUUUAGUAUUUAUCCAGAGGAUACAGGAGUGCUGGUGCGAAGGGGCACAUGUACCCCAAUGUUUAUAGCAACACUAUCGACAAUAGCCAAAGUAUGGAAAGAGCCCAAAUGUCCAAUGACUGAUGAAUGGAUAAAGAAGAUGUGGGGUGUGUUCUGUGUCUCCCUCUCUCUCUGCCCCUCCCCCGUUCAUGCUCUGUCUCUCUCUGUCUCAAAAAUAAAAACGUUAAGAAAAAUUAAAAAAAAAAAAGGUGUGUGUGUGUAAUGGAAUAUUACUCAGCUAUCAACAAGAAUGAAAUCUUGCCAUUUAUAACAACAUGGAUGGAACUCGAGUGUGUUAUGCUAAGUGAAAUAAGUCAGAGGAACAAAUAUGAUUUCACUCGUGGACUUUAAGAAAUAAAACAGAUGGGGCGCCUGGGUGGCGCAGUCGGUUAAGCGUCCGACUUCAGCCAGGUCACGAUCUCGCGGUCUGUGAGUUCGAGCCCCGCGUCAGGCUCUGGGCUGAUGGCUCGGAGCCUGGAGCCUGUUUCCGAUUCUGUGUCUCCCUCUCUCUCUGCCCCUCCCCCAUUCAUGCUCUGUCUCUCUCUGUCCCAAAAAUAAAUAAAAACGUUGAAAAAAAAUUAAAAAAAAAAAAAAGAAAUAAAACAGAUGAACAUAAGGGAAGGGAAGCAAAAAUAAGAUAAAAACAGAGAGGGAGACAAACCAUAAGAGACUCUUAAAUAGAACAAAUUGAGGGUUGCUGGUGGAGUGUUGGGUGGGGGGAUGGGCUAAAUGGGUAAGUGGCAUUAAGGGGGACACUUGUUGGGAUGAGCACUGGGUGUUAUAUGUAAGUGAUGAAUUGCUAAAUUCUAUUCCUGAAAUCAUUAUUACACUAUAUGCUAACUAGGAUUUAAAUUUAAAAAAUAAUAAAAAUAAAAAUAAUAAAACCACUUUCUUGAGGUAUAAUUGACGUACAGUAAACUGCACAUAUUUAAAGUGUACAAUUGUUUAAGUCUGACAUGUGUAUAUAUCCAGGGAACUAUCACUAGUCAAGAUAGUGAAUAUAGUGGCACCUGGGUGUCACUUAGUGUUAGGUGUCCAACUCUUGAUUUCAGCUCAGGUUAUGAUCUCGAGAUUGGUGAGAUCAAGCCCUGCAUCAGGUUCUGCACUGACAGCCCAGAAUCUGCUUGGGAUUCUCUCUUCCCUCUUUCUCUGCCUCUCCCCUGCUUGCGUGCGCUCUCUCUCUCAAAAUAAAUAAAUAAAAAUAUAUCCAUUGUACUAGCCAGAGUAAUCUUAGUUUAUAUAAAGUGAAAGUAACUGCUGAUUACAGCUGGGACUUUUCACAUACCUACAUCUUAAGUCACAUCCAGUUGCAUAUUUGUUGUAUACUUGACUGAGUAUAGUCAGUUACUGAGCAACCUUGGGAAUUUAGUUUUUAAAAAAUGAGAUUUUCAGUAAAGGUGCCGAGAUAAUUCAAUAAGGAAAGAAGUCUUUUCAAUAAAUGGUGUUGGAACAACUGGAAAUCUACAUGCAUAUGAUGAAGUUGGACCCCUAUCUCAUACCAUGUAUAAAAAUUAACUCCAAAUGCAUCAAAGACCUAAGCAUAAGAGCAAAACUGUAAGACUCAAAUGAAAACAGGUGUGAAUCUUUGUGACUUUGGAUUAGGCAGUGGUUUUUUAGGCAUGAUGCCUAAAGCACAGGUGAAAAAAAGACAAAUUGGGCUUCAUCAAAAUGUAAAACUUUUGUGCUUCAAAGGACAUCAAGAAAAUGAAAAGAAUACAGAAUGUGAAAAAUAUUUACAAAUCAUGUAUUUGAUAAGGGUAUAGUAUCUUAAAUAUCCUAACUAAGAGUUCUUAUUUAACUUUUAUAAGUCAUCAGUAAAAUGACAACCCAAUUGAAAAUGGGCAAAGGAUUUGAAUAGACAUUUCUACAAAGAAGAUACAAAAUGGUCAAUAAGAACAUAAAAAGAUGUUCAGUGUCCUGCACUAGGGAAAUGCAAAUCAAGAUCACAGUGAGAUCCCACUUCAUCCGCUAGCAUGGUUAUAAUUAAGAUGAGGGACAAUCAAAAAGAUGGCAAGCCUAUGGAUACAUUGGAAGACUCCUACACUGCUGUAUAAUUGGCAGGAAAGUAAAAUGGUACAGCCCCUUUGGAAAACAGUUUGGCCGUUCCUCAAAAUGUUACACAAUUACCAGAUGACAGUGUUCUGUACAGCAAGAGAAUUGAAAAGAUGUUCAUGCAAAAACUUGUGCAUCAAUGUUCACAGCAUCAUCCCUGGUAGCCAACAAGUGGAAAUCACCUAAACGUCUAUCAGCUGAUGAAUAGAGAAACAAAUGUGGUAUGUCCAGACAAUGGACUAUUUCUUAGCCAUAAAAAGAAAUGGAACCCAGAUACAUGCUGCAAUGUGCAUGAACCUUGAAAACAUAAUGCUAACUGAAAAAAGCCAGUUACAAAAGGCCAAAUCUUAUGUGAUUCUGUUCAAAUGAAAUGUCCAGAGUAGGAAAAGUAGCAAGUAGAUUAGCAGUUACCUAGGGCUGGGGGAAAAGAAUAAUGGGGAUUGAUUGCCAAUGAGCAUGAAAUUUGUUUGGGGUGAUGAAAUGUUCCAGAAAUUGCAUAAUGGUGAUAAUUAUAGAACCCUUGUGAAUAUUCUAAAAGUCACCAAACUGCACAUUUUAAGAGGGUGAUUUGUAUGGUGUGUGAAUCAUAUCAAAUUAAAGAAAAGAAAAGAAAAGAAAAGAAAAGAAAAGAAAAGAAAAGAAACAGGGAGUAGACAACCAAGGCCUCAGAAAAAAACAAUAUACAUACACAAAAAUGGGGCCAAGCCUCAUGUUUUUUUCUUCACAGGGGAGCUCCUCGGGCCCUCACACAGAGCUUAUUUUUAAUUUAGAUUAAGUUCUGACAUAUGAAUCAUCUGGCUCCUUUGUUGUACACUAAGCCAGUUUACCACAAUGCUCUUCCUCUAAAAACUGCCCUCCCUUGCAGAGGUGGCCCCAACAGCCAUUUUUAUACUGUGUGACCUUAUCAUUUGGGCCACAGAGGAAACCUAACCCCAAAGGGCCAACCCGAUUCUCUCCUCUGGGACUGUGGCAAUUGGAGAGAAGAAGUUCUUUGUUCUCUGCAAGUGACCAGAACUAAGUUGAUGUAACCUUCCAGUUGUGGCAGAGUCAUGUCCAUGGAGAAGCCCAGGAGGGGAGUCUGCAGAAACAAAAGAAUGAGACAAAUGGGCAAAGGGGCACAGAGGUGAGAGCGACUAAGAAAAUGGCCUCUUUGGUUUCUGCUGAGUUUCGUUUCCUGGUUCUGCCCCCUUGCUUCACUUUUGCCACUAAGAUAUCUUCAUAGCCUCAUAAUUAAUGUUAAUUUUUCCCCUCCUUAACCUAGUAGGCUUUGAAACUUGGAAUUGAAAAGACUUUGGCUAUAGUGCUGGGUUCCAAGAGGUGAAAGAUGUACUGUCACCAGUAAUGUGGGCAUUAAAUAUUUGUAUCAAUGCAGCCAAUUAAAGGGAGGAAUUGCCUGAAGCCACCAAUACUAAGAGCAGUAAAAAAGAAAUUAAUAGCCCAUAAAAACAAGUCUUUGGGAAAAGUAGAGCCAAAAACUCCAAAAAGCGCAUAAGUCUAGGACCAUUUAUUUGAGAGGCUUGCGGUGGCUGACCUCAGUGCACCUUAGGGCAUCAUUUGGUUAUAGCAUGGUAAGAAUGAUGUUUGUUACAAUGGUCUUGAGCCACAAAAGGCCUGUCAGAUGAAGCUGUAUUCUUUGUUCAGGAGUAUCUUUAAUGAAAAAAAAAAUGUUUAAAUUAAAUGUUCGGGCAUUUAAAAGAUGUAAGAUUUACUUAUCUGGCACAUAGACCUUGUGAAAUACGUCAUUGUAUAACAUAAUGACAGAUACAUGUAGUCCAAAUGUAUAAUUAUAUAUACCUCCAGAAACAGCCUAUCCCCUAAAUAUAGAACAUGUUGAUAGCAAAAGUGAGGAAUAAAUUAUUUUAUAAUUUUACUGUUUCUUUCCCCACGGAGUCCUUAAGCCUGAAGCUGUUGUGGAAGAAAAAAAAACCCUCUUCUUUUAGAGGCCAUGUGCUAAUCACAGAUAAUCCUCUGUGUGUCCCAACCCUAUCCAACCCAGAGUCCCUUUAACAAGAAAUAUUUUCUAAUAUGGGGCGCCUGGGUGGCGCAGUCGGUUAAGCGUCCGACUUCAGCCAGGUCACGAUCUCGCGGUCCGUGAGUUCGAGCCCUGCGUCAGGCUCUGGGCUGAUGGCUCGGAGCCUGGAGCCUGUUUCCGAUUCUGUGUCUCCCUCUCUCUCUGCCCCUCCCCCGUUCAUGCUCUGUCUCUCUCUGUCCCAAAAAUAAAUAAACGUUGAAAAAAAAAAAAAAAAAAGAAAUAUUUUCUAAUAGCUCAGUAGGAUUCCUGAAAAUAAUCAAUAUGGACUGUAAUCUACCCAUACUCAAACAUGUAAAUGUUUGUAUGUAUAUUUGAUUUGCAUUUCCAUAAUUAAUGAUAAUUGAGUUUUUCAUGUGCUUGUUGGCCAAUCUGUACAUCUUUGGAGAAAUGUCUGUUCAGAUCCUUUGCCCAUUUUUUUAAUUGAGUGAUUUGCCCCUUUAAGUUUUUUUUUUUUUUUUUUUUUUUUUUUUUUUAUUUUUUUUUUAACGUUUAUUUAUUUUUGGGACAGAGAAAGACAGAGCAUGAACGGGGGAGGGGCAGAGAGAGAGGGAGACACAGAAUCGGAAGCAGGCUCCAGGCUCCGAGCCAUCAGCCCAGAGCCCUACGCGGGGCUCGAACUCACGGACCGCGAGAUCGUGACCUGGCUGAAGUCGGACGCUUAACCGACUGCGCCACCCAGGCGCCCCUGCCCCUUUAAGUUUUAAGAGUUCUUUAUGUAUUUGGGUACAAUUCUAUAUCAGGUAUAUGCUCCGCAAAUGUCUUCUCUCAUUCAUGGUAGCAGGGAUUACAGGUUAUUGAAACGGAGAAAAUGGGAAGUAUGAUAUUCUUGCUGCUGAACGGGAUGUUUUUCUGUAACUGUGUUUUGAAAUCCGAGUGCCUUUGACAUUUGGUCUUGGAUGUAAAAAAGACCUUGGACACCACCCCCUUUGGAAGGUGACAGAGAGUAGAGGAUGCAUAAGGGAUGAAAUUGCGAACUCAGGAGAUAAUGGGACAGUUGUGAGGUUGACAUGUAGGGACUGGGUCUGCUCUAAUUGAAAACAAGGUAUUCAGGAAUGGGUCCUGUGUAUGCCAGGCACUGGAAUAUGGUUAUUUACUGGUUGUGCAUCCUUAGAGCUAUUAACUUUUUGGCAGUGUUUCUUUAUGUCAAAUGGAGAUCAGUGUUACAGUGUCAAGUAUGGCAUUGUCUUUAUGAUAGUAAUAACAACAGCCAAGACACUGCUAAAUGCUUCAUAAACUUCAUUUCAUUCAGUCUCCCAUGAAGCAUGAGGUAGGCAUUGAAGAGAACAACAGACUCUGAGAGUCCAUACAAGCAGUUGAGCCAGGAUUUGAGUCCAUGUUUGUCUGAUUCCAGAAUCUUGGCUCUUAAUUAUUUCAUUAUGCAGCCUUCAGAUGCGGUGAAGCUGUUUUGUUCACUCUAAAUCAGUGUGCAGUGUUAUGUGGGAUUGUUUUUGUGGCUCGACUACUUGGUGUGUACCAAGAUUAAGGGAUAAUGAGGAUUGUGGGGGUCAACUUGACAUGGGAGAAAUCUUGCUUAUGGAGGUGAUAGUUAUUGGAAACCCCGUACGUUUCAUCAUGCUCCCUGAUGCUAGCAUACAGUGUCAUCAAAUAUCUCAAAUUUACUUACAACUAUUAGAUUCUAAAUAUUUGGAAGGAUUAUCCAACAGACUCAGGAAAAUAAGACCCAAAGAUACAGUGCCAUUAGUGUCAAAUCUGGUAACUUUCUAAGAUGGUGUCUUAAUUACUGUGGGAGGCAGAAUAAUGUGCCCCCUCCACAUCCAUGUCCUAAUCCCUGAAACCUGUGAAUAUGUUCUCUUAUUUGGCAAAAGAGACAUUGCAGAUGUGAUUAAGUUAAGGAUUUUGAGAUGGGGAGAUUGUCCUGGAUUAUCCAGGUGAGCUUUUCACAAGGGUCCUUCAAAAAUGUUAAGGAGGGGCUGCUGAAGACAUAGAGAAGGCCUGGGACAACAGCAGUGCAGGUCAGAGGGAAGAGAUUGCUAGCUGGAGGCCGUGAGCCAAGGAAGGAGGCUGGAAAAGGCAACAGGUGAAUUCCUUCUACAGCCUACAGAAGGAAUGUAACCUCGAUGUUAGCCCACAAGACCCAUUUUGGACUUCUGACCUCCAGAACUAUAAAAUAAUAUAUUUGUGUUGUUUUAAGCCACUAAAUUUGUGGCAGUUUGUUACAGCAUCAAUAGGAAACUAAUAAGGUUACUAACUCCAUAGAAGUAUUAUGAACAUAAGAUUCUUAAUUCAGAUUAAGCUACAAAGAAUUUAAUUUAUUAUUAAGGACUUUAGUUAGUGAUUAAUCUCGGGACAGUUUUGUUUGUUUCCUUCUGGGAGGAUUUCAGUGUAUGUUUUUCUUUGUACACUCAAGUAUGUGGCAAAGGACCAGGGCUCAAGGGAGAUGUACAAAGCUAACUCAUUUAGGACAAUGAUAUCCCCCUACAAAAUAAGUUUUAUAAGCACAGAAGAUAAGUCUCUCACCCAAACAAAAUGAGAGCUUUAAAAAAAUUUAAGACGAUUUGUGUGAAUUUGGAUUUUUUCUCUUAAAAAAUAAGUGGAAAAAUAAAUAUUUAUAACAGAGUAGAAAUGCUUGCCUCAUUUAAUGAUGAUUUUGUGGUAACUAGGUGGGAGUCCUAUUCAAGGAUAGAAAAAGAUACUGUGGUAGGUGAUAUAAAGAGACAAAGUCUACAAAGCACACAGAUUUAACUUGAAAAGUUUAUAGUGAUUUGAAACCCACCCAGGAUGUAUAUAGUACAGCUUAAAGCAAGAGAGGUAAAUCCUUAGGUGAUAGCCGCCCCGGUUUGCCUAGGACUGAAAAGUUUGCCAGGACAUGGGGUUUUUCGUUGCUAAAGCUGGGGAAGUCCCUUGGCAAGCGGGGUGAGUGGGUAACUCUCAGACGGACUAAGCUAGACUAACUAGCUUCAGGAAGGCUCAUGAUAGCAUGGAUUCUGAGCCAGGCCCUCACUGCCCGUUGACAGUGCUUACCACACUCCCUGGGUGCACCCCAAGCUUCACUCUCAAGAGACUUGUACUGGUAAAACUUGAACUAGAUCUGUUAAAAAACAGAAGGGACUGUUGCAAGAAGCAGGAAGGCUUUCCAAGAAAUGUAGCCUCUAAACCUCACUUUUCCUGAUCUCAUAUCCAACCACUUCAUGCCUACCUGGAAAUCUGAAUAAAAAUGAAACAAAACAAUAGCAACAACAAAAAGCAAUAAAGGUGCACGUUUUAUGUAACUUGUCUCAUAACGAAAACCCAUCUAGGAGCGCCUGGGUGGCUGGGUCGGUUGGUUAAGCAUCCAACUUCAGCUCAGGUCAUGAUCUCGAGGUUUGUGAAUUUGAGCCCCGCGUUAGGCUCUGUGCUGAUAGCUCAGAGCCUGGAGCCUGCUUUGGAUUCUGUGUCUCCCCUUCUCUCUGCCCUUCCCAUGCUCAUGCUGUGUCUCUCUCUGUUUCUCAAUAAUAAAUAAAUACUCAAAAAAAUAUAUAGUCGUUAAAUCCUAAUAUAAACCUAGAAACAGGAUUAAAAAAAAAACAAACAAAACCCAUCUACUUUGUUCUCUAUUGAAGACAGAAAGAAAUUUCUAGAAUACACAGAACUGUGUGUUAAUCUUUCCCAGCCCCCAGCGAUUAUUGUAUUUUAUUAGCCAAAUAAAUAGCUCUAGCAGAUCUAAAUCCAACACAAUGGAAUACAGGUUUCUUUGGCUCUGCAUAGCACUGUCUAUUCUGAAAACCACCUACAUGUGAGUGAUACUCAGAAUCCCAUUUUACAGUUGAGUAAAAGCUCAGUCUCAUUAGUGUUUGAUAAAACACUCUGGAAAUGUUGCUUUUUUCCUAGUUAUUAUGCCCCCGUCUGUCAUUAAAGAUUUCUCUUGGUAAUAAUUGGUGGCGAAGAGAGAACAAAAGCACAGAGGGAAGGACUGGUCACACUCCAAAAAUAUCUACCUGAUAAUAACAUUUUGAAUUUCCAUUGUCUGGGUACAGAUAAUAGUCACCUCUAAGUUCAUGUAAGCAAAUCACAAAGCCUUCUCUUGGAAUUUUCCCAGUUCUUUCCUGUUCUUAAGUGUAGUCUGAACACUAUGCAUCUGAGUAGUUUGAUAACUCUCAAGUGUUCGGUGUGUGACAUGAGCUGUGCUGAGAUACGAGAGAUGUAUGGCGUGCCUGGGAGUUAGCUCAACCAAGAGGAAGUGUUUGUGAAAGAGGCGUCUUUUCUCUUCAAUUACUUCCUCUUUUCUCGUUUUAUCAUUUCUCUGUCAGUAGGAAAUUAAAUGGGAAGUGAGGUGACAAACUACAGUCACUUUCUUUGAGCCAGCUGAGGGUAAGUGUUGCCUCUUUCCUGCCCUGAGAAAUAUCCAGAAGGCUCAUCUCCUGUUCCCUGUAAUUAGCCUUUUUAUUAGAGGUGGGACCCAUUGGCCUCAGCUUUCUGUUUGGCCCAAAUCUGCCAUUUGACUUUGGUUUUGGUCUCAGUUUCUGGAAAGCCAAGUAAUCAUUUGACUACUUCAGCAUCAUUUCUAGCCUCUCUGAACUUUUACGCCAUCAAUGAAUGUGGAAUUGCCUGAGUAACCAUCGUCUCCAAUCAGAGUAUCAAUGUGAGCAGUAUGAAUGAGGCCUAUAAGUUAUUGCAAUAUGUUGUUACUACAUUAAUAUUCACUUUUGAAUGUAGGUGAGUAUUCUAGUUGUAACUGGAAUGAAAAAGGUCUCCUUAGGUUCUUUAUAUGUUGAAAUGUUAUCAGUAGUUUAAAUAUACAUUUAGAGGGGCACCUGGGUGGCUCAGUUGGUUGGGCAUCCAACUUCGGCUCAGGUCAUGAUCUCACAGUUUGUAAGUUGGAGCCCUGCAUUGGGCUCUGUGCUUACAGCUCAGAGCCUUGGAGCCUGCUUCAGAUUCUGUCUCCCUCUCUCUCUGCCCUUCCCCCACUCACACUCUGUCUCUCUCACUCUCCCUCUCUCAAAAAUAAACAUUAAAAAAUAAAUAAAAUACAUUUAUAACUAAAGUAAAAUAAUGAUUGACACGAUUUUGUUUUCAAAAUAAAAAGAACUUUCAAAAAGUUUAAUAGAAAAAUUGAUAGGCAGGCUAUUAGGAGAGAUUUUUUGGUGGCUAAAUAAUAAGUUGAAUAAGAAUAAAGGCCUGAAGAUAAUAGAAAUUUAAAAUAUGUGGGGUGCCUGGGGGGCUCAGUUGGUUAAGUGUCUGACUUCAGCUCAGGUCAUGAACUCACAAUUUGUGAGUUCAAGCCCCACAUAGGGCUUGGUGCUGUCAGUAUGGAGCCCGCUUUGGAUCUUCUGUCUCCCUUUCUCUCUGCCCUUCCCCCUACCUCUCUCUCAAAAAUAAAUAAACAUUAAAAAAAAGAAGAAAUUUAGAAUAUGAGUGAAGAGGGGCACUUGGCUGGCCCAGUCGGUGGAGCAUGAGACUCUUGAUCUCGGGGUUAUGAGUUCAAGCCCCACAUUGGGUGGAGAGAUUACCUAAAAAUAAAACCUGAAAAAAAUACAAUAAAAAUAAAAUAUGAGUGAAAAAAAUCUGUAGCUUGCUUUUGAAAAUAUUCAGGAAGUAUCCUCAAACAGUAUGCAAAGCUUUAGUUUGUGGGAUCAUUUCCAUGAAAAUGCAUCAUCAUUGUCAACACAGUUUUCAAGUACAGAAGUUGAGGAGGACAUGUCUUUACCACAAUGGUAUAGUCUCUAGAAGGAAGGAAAAUUUGAUAAUUUGAUAGCAACAUCACUAUCAACAGUGCUCUGUUCUGGCAAAACAGCCAAAAGUAUCUUAGCUCUGCCUUUGAACAAUUUGAAGUGAACAUCAAAUCAAUAUCCAAUUGUUCAGUGGAACAAUCCCGGGGACAGUCUUAGGGAAUUAAUGUUCAUAUACUAUAAAAUUCAAACUUUAAAAUUUGAUUAGUAAAAUGUAAUAGUAAAGUUGAAAUAACAAACCUUUGGGAAAUCUUCGGAUUUAUGCUUGUACUACGGCAGAGACAUUGGGCUGUGGUUAUUGAUGUUAACACGUAGCCAUUUGGCCAAAUGUGUAUUUGGUCUGUAUUGUGUAUUGUGUAUGGUAUGUGUGUGUAUUCACAUAACGUAAAAUUAACUAUUUCAAAGUGAACAAUUCCAUGACAUUUAACAUACACACAGUGUUGUGCAUCCACUGCCUUUAUCUGGUUCCAGAUCACUUGUAUCCCCUCAAGAGGAAACCCCACACCCAUUAGGCAGUGGUUCCCCACUUCCCUCUCCCUCCCAGCUCCUGGCCACUGCCAAUCUGCUUUGUGUCUGUGUAGAUUCACCCCGUCUGCAUGUUUCAUAUAAAUGGAAUCCUACAACACAUGACAUUUUGUGUCUGGCUUCUUCCAUUUAGCAUAAUGUUUUUGAGAUUCAUCCAUAUUGUAGCACACAUCAGUGUUUCAUUCCUUUUUCUGGCUGAAUAAUAUUCUGUUGUAUGGGCAUAUCCUGUGUGUUUAUCCACUCAUCAGCUGAUGGACAUUGGGGUUGCAUUCACCUUUUGGUUAGUGUGAAUAGUGUGGCAGUGAACACGUGUGUGCAAGUAUUAGUCUGAGUCCUUGGUUUUUGAUUCUUUGCAGUAUAUACCUAAGAGCGGAAUUGCUGCAUCCUAUGGUAAUUCUAUGUUUAACUUCUUGUGGGACCACCAAACUAUUUUCCCUUCUGUUAUUCCUCAUAUCCAGGAUGUGUGCACGGUUGUGGCCUGUGAGCCAGAAAGUCAUAGCUUCUCUGAGUGGCUCCCAAAAUAAUCAAGGUGUGGUAGCCCUGUAUCAUUGGUAGGAUCAGCUUCCAGAGACCUUUUCCAGGAUUCCUUUGCAGUUGUCCUUGUACCUGGGCAAAUCUUCUGAAGACAAACCGAAACAUCUGUGUUGGGAAGAACUCACCUGACCUCAUUGUGUUGGUUUACUGGGGACAUCCAUCCAUGCGUUCAUCAAAUAGUUAUACAGUAUGUGGUGUUUAUCUGGAACCAAACAGACAAAAACCUCUGCCUCCAGAAGUUUACAUUCCAGUGCCAGGAGAUAGGCAACAGACAAUAAAAAUAGUAAGUAGGGGCAGUCAGAGAAAGCCAUGCAAAUUUAUUAUCCCAUGGUUGUUUAUAAUCGUCUUAAUAUUUAAAAAAAAAUUCUGUUGUGACUGUCAUUAUGUUCUACUUUUUCUUUAGUUUAUUUGCUUCUUUUUAUUAGACACACAUCUCUGGCAAGGCUUCUGUCUUUUUAGUUUUUUCAUAGAGCCAGCUUUUAGUUUUAUUAGCUGUCUCUGUUGCUCUGUAUUUCAAUGGUUUCUGCCCUAAUCGUUAUUAUUUGCUUCUUGUUUCUUUCAGUUGGUUCUGCUGCUCUUUUUUCCCAGUGUUUUGAGUUGAAUGCUUAGCUCAUGUCUUUUUGUUGUUGUUUGUUUAUUUAUUUUGAGAGAGAGAAGGCACGAGCAGAGGAGGGGCAGAGAGAGAGAGGGAGAGCGAGAAUCCCAAGCAGGCUCCGCACUGUCAGAGCAGAGCGCAAGGCGGGUGUGGAACUCACGAGCUGUGAGACAUGACCUGAGCUCAAAUCAGGAGUUGGACACUUAACUGACUGUAGGUCAUGUCUUUUUAAACUUUGUUUCCUGAUAAAUGUAUUUAAACCUAUAAAUUUCCCUUUAAAGUAGUGCUUUUGCUGUGUCCCACCAAUUUUGACAUGGUGUUUUUAUUAUUAUCUAGUUUUAAAUAUUUCCAAAAGUCAUUUAGCAAUAUGUUAUUUGGUUUCCAAACAUUUUUAAAAUCCAUCUUUAAAAAAUCAAUUUCUAGGCCACCUAGGUGUCUCAGUUGGUUAAACUUGAUUAACCGACUCUUGAUUUUGGCUCAGGUCAUGAUCUUAUGGUUUGUGGGAUCAAGCCCUGUGCUAUUAGCACAGACCCUGCUUGAGAUUGUCUCUCUCUGUCUCCCUAUCUCUCUGCCCCUCUCCUGCUCUCUCUCUCUCUCAAAAUGAGUAAAUUAAUUAAUUAAAAAAAUUAAAAAUCGAUUUCUAAUUUCAUUGAUACGCAGUUGGAGAACCUAGUCUGUAUCAUAUUGAUCAUCGAAGGAAAUAUAUAUUCUAAUUAAUGUCUGUUUUUGUAAAUGUUCUAUGCGUACCCUAAAAGAAUGUGCAUCCUUGGCUGGGUGUUGAAUUCCUUAUAUAUCUACUAGCUCAAGGGAGGCCCUCUCUAAGGAAGUGCAUUUGAGCUGAGAUCUGAACAUCAGGAAGGAGCCAACUCUGAAAAUCGGGAAGAAAGGAUCCCAGGCAGAGGGAACAAGUGUAAGGGCCCUGAGGUACAAACAAGCUUGGUAUGUUCCAGGAGCAGAAAGAGGGCAGUAUGAAUGGAGUGUAGUGGGCAAGGAGGAGAGUGAAGUGAGCUAAGACCCUGAGAGGUAGUCAGGGGCCAGAUCAAAUAGGGCCUCAGAGACGAUGGUAUGGACUUUGGAUUUUAUUUUUCUCUCUCUUUUUUUAAAUGUUUAUUUUUGAGUGACAGAGAGACAGAGUGCAAGUGGAGGAGGGAUAGAAAGAGAAGGAGACACAGAAUCCGAAGCAGGCUCCAGGUUCUGAGCUGUCAGCACAGAGCCUGACGCGGGGCUCGAACUCACAGACUGUGAGAUCAUUACCUGAGCUGAAAUUGGACGCUUAACCGACUGAGCCACCCAGGCAUCCCUGGAGGAAUCAUUUUCAUAUUAAAAGUGCUUAAGAGAUCAUAUUCAGCCCUGCCUUUUCCUUUUGCAAAUAAGAAAACUAAGAUGAGGUCUCAAGGGUUCUCACAGCUAGUUGUUUGCCGCCCAGGCUCUUUGAUAGAUUAGCUCCUAAAAAGGAGGACUCCAUUUUUAUAUAAUUUCAUUGAAAUGUUAUUGAAAGGAAUCUUAUCUUGUUAUGAACCCCUUUGUAAAACAAAAAUCACUUUCACCCACACUAUUUACUUCUUUUGUAGAUGUAGAUUCUUUUAGAUUGGAUUUAUUUAAAGUGAAUUUCCCACAGGAAUUCCUUUCUCUUCUAAAAUGUUCUGCUCACUGUCAUUUUACCCCUCUGCUUCAGGUCGACAUUUGGAUGUGUUUCUAUGAGGCAGCAGCUUCAGCUGCCCUUUAUUCUCCUGGGUGCCACCUUCAUUUCCAGGACGACCUUCCCAGCCCUUUUUUGAUGAGGCCUCUGUGGCACAUUCAGAAGCCUCUGCAUCAUGAAGACGCUCAGUAAUGGCUCACUGGCUCUGCCUGGCUGCAGACAGGUUUUCCCACCUCACCCUCCGUGGAGGCCAACCACUUUGCUCUCCUGGCAACAGGAACAGCUGUAGACGUACCCUGAACAAGCAAAGCUGAAUCCAAGUGCCGUGCCAGGCAGUCCUCAAACUGUGAAUGGUCGCAAUGCACAUUCGAUGCCUACCUGCAUAUGAGCCUGACUCAACACAGGGAUCAGCAAGUGCCUUUGUGAACCUUGUCCUCUAGCGCUUUAUCUGAAGUGAAGGCAGUUAUUCCCAUUAGGAAAGUAGACAUUUUUUUUUCCUGAUGGUGGAUGGCAAAGUCAAUGCCUCAGGCAAGGUCAGUGCUUGAGUUGCACCCUAAGAAAGCCAAAGGUAAGAUUUAUACCCACCAACCUCUGGCUUAUCCCUUCUUCCUUGCACAUCCUUGCAAAUAUUGUUCUUCUGGCUUGCUGGCCCUGCUGGGGUCUCCACUGGAAUAUUUGCUUACAAGACACAUUUAUAUGCCUUUGGGGGUAUGAGGAAAUCUGAACAGAAAGCUGGCCGCAGCCUCCAUUUGAGACUCAGACUAAAAGAAAGUCUAGAUGCUGUAAAGAAAGUACAUAUUUUUAAUACCAUAAAGAAAUAUCCACAAAAUGUAAAAAUUGCUCAGUUGCCUAUGCAUUAGUUUUUGGUUUUGUUUUUGGCAAUUUAAAAAAUUGUGGUAAAUAUAUAUAUACCAUAAAUUUGAUUUC